rnacentral:rRNA from 1 species
UACGUAGGUGGCAAGCGUUGUCCGAAAUUAUUGGGCGUAAAGCGCGCGCAGGCGGUCCUUUAAGUCUGAUGUGAAAGCCCACGGCUCAACCGUGGAGGGUCAUUGGAAACUGGGGACUUGAGUACAGAAGAGAAGAGUGGAAUUCCACGUGUAGCGGUGAAAUGCGUAGAGAUGUGGAGGAACACCAGUGGCGAAGGCGACUCUUUGGUCUGUAACUGACGCUGAGGCGCGAAAGCGUGGGGAGCGAACAGG